rfam:Octopus bimaculoides Scaffold229598_contig_1, whole genome shotgun sequence.
AGCUUUGCGCAGAGGCGGUACCAUGGCCAAUGAGGUAAAUCCGAGGCGUGGUUAUUGCUAGUUGAAAACUAUUCCCAAUACCCCGCGUAUAGCAUCCUUCGAGGUGCUGUGCGCAAUUUUUGCGCACCUCUAAGGAGG